AACGAACGCUGGCGGCAUGCCUAACACAUGCAAGUCGAACGAGACCAUCGGGUCUAGUUGCUCACGGGUGCGUAACGCGUGGGAACCUGCCCUUAGGUUCCGAAUAACUCCCUGUAAGGGGUGCUAAUACCGGAUAAUGUCUUCGGACCAAAGAUUGAUCGCGUUUGGAUGGGCCCGCGUUGGAUUAGCCGGUUGGUAGGGUAAAAGCCUACCAAGGCGUGGAUCCAUAGCUGGGAUGAGAGGCUGAUCAGCCACACUGGGGCUAAGGCACGGCCCAGAAUCCUGGGCGAGGGAGGAGAGGGGGAUAUAGGAAGACGGGGGAAGGCAUGAAGACGCAAUGCCGGGAGAGUGAUGAAGGCGGUAGGGAAGUAAAGCACGUUUACACGGGGUGAUACUGACGGUACCGGGAGAAUAAGCACCGGCUAACUCCGUG
rnacentral:rRNA from 1 species